rnacentral:rRNA from 1 species
AUUGAACGCUGGCGGCAGGCCUAACACAUGCAAGUCGAACGAGUGGCGGACGGGUGAGUAAUGUCUGGGAAACUGCCUGAUGGAGGGGGCUAACUACUGGAAACGGUAGCUCAUACCGCAUACCAUCAGAUGUGCCCAGGUGGGAUUAGCUAGUAGGUGGGGUAAUGGCUCACCUAGGCGACGAUCCCUAGCUGGUCUGAGAGGAUGACCAGCCAGACUGGAAAGGAGACAGGGUCCAGACUCAUACGGGAGGCAGCAGUGGGGAAUAGUGCACAAUGGGCGCAAGCAUGAUGCAGCCAUGCCGCGUGUAGGAAGAAGGCCUUCGGGUUGUAAAGUACUUUCAGCGGGGAGGCGUUACCCGCAGAAGAAGCACCGGCUAACUCCGUGCCAGCAGCCGCGGUAAUAC